ensembl:snRNA U6 U6 spliceosomal RNA
GUGCUCCAAUAACAGCACAUAUACUAAAACUGGAACAAUACAGAGAAGAUUAGCAUGACCCCUGUGCAAAGAUGUCACCUAAAUUCAUGAAGCAUUCCAUAUUAAA